ACAAUUCGGACGUCUCUAGGCGAAGGGAACCCGGUGAGAAUCCGGGGCGGUCCCGCCGCUGUAACCCCGCACCUCUCCACAGCGGAGAGGUAGCACCGUCCACUGUACGCGUACGCGGACAGCGUCACUACCCAACGAAUGGGUGGGAAGACGUGUGAACGGUGCGGGGGAGCCAGAAGACCUGCCUGGAGCAUUCGUGGUUC
rnacentral:ncRNA from 2 species